rnacentral:rRNA from 1 species
AGUCGACGAAGCCUUCGGGCUUAGUGGCGCACGGGUGCGUAACGCGUGGGAACCUGCCUUUAGGUUCGGAAUAACAGUUAGAAAUGACUGCUAAUACCGAAUAAUGUCUUCGGACCAAAGAUUUAUCGCCUUUAGAUGGGCCCGCGUAGGAUUAGCUAGUUGGUGGGGUAAAGGCCUACCAAGGCGACGAUCCUUAGCUGGUCUGAGAGGAUGAUCAGCCACACUGGGACUGAGACACGGCCCAGACUCCUACGGGAGGCAGCAGUGGGGAAUAUUGGACAAUGGGCGAAAGCCUGAUCCAGCAAUGCCGCGUGAGUGAUGAAGGCCUUAGGGUUGUAAAGCUCUUUUACCAGGGAUGAUAAUGACAGUACCUGGAGAAUAAGCUCCGGCUAACUCCGUGCCAGCAGCCGCGGUAAUACGGAGGGAGCUAGCGUUGUUCGGAAUUACUGGGCGUAAAGCGCACGUAGGCGGCUUUUUAAGUCGGGGGUGAAAUCCCGGGGCUCAACCCCGGAACUGCCUCCGAAACUGGAAAGCUAGAAUCUUGGAGAGGCGAGUGGAAUUCCGAGUGUAGAGGUGAAAUUCGUAGAUAUUCGGAAGAACACCAGUGGCGAAGGCGACUCGCUGGACAAGUAUUGACGCUGAGGUGCG